AUUAAGACUCUCGGCAACGGAUAUCUCGGCUCUUACAUCGAUGAAGAACGUAGCGAAAUGCGAUACUUGGUGUGAAUUGCAGAAUCCCGUGAACCAUCGAGUCUUUGAACGCAAGUUGCGCCCGAGGCCUUCGGGUCGAGGGCACGCCUGCCUGGGCGUCACGCCUCGC
rnacentral:rRNA from 1 species